GCACUUGUGAUUGUGCCACCCGCCGCGGUAAUACGGAGGGUGCAAGCGUUAAUCGGAAUUACUGGGCGUAAAGCGCACGCAGGCGGUUUGUUAAGUCAGAUGUGAAAUCCCCGGGCUCAACCUGGGAACUGCAUCUGAUACUGGCAAGCUUGAGUCUCGUAGAGGGGGGUAGAAUUCCAGGUGUAGCGGUGAAAUGCGUAGAGAUCUGGAGGAAUACCGGUGGCGAAGGCGGCCCCCUGGACGAAGACUGACGCUCAGGUGCGAAAGCGUGGGGAGCAAACAGGAUUAGAUACCCUGGUAGUCCACGCCGUAAACGAUGUCGACUUGGAGGUUGUGCCCUUGAGGCGUGGCUUCCGGAGCUAACGCGUUAAGUCGACCGCCUGGGGAGUACGGCCGCAAGGUUAAAACUCAAAUGAAUUGACGGGGGCCCGCACAAGCGGUGGAGCAUGUGGUUUAAUUCGAUGCAACGCGAAGAACCUUACCUGGUCUUGACAUCCACAGAACUUUCCAGAGAUGGAUUGGUGCCUUCGGGAACUGUGAGACAGGUGCUGCAUGGCUGUCGUCAGCUCGUGUUGUGAAAUGUUGGGUUAAGUCCCGCAACGAGCGCAACCCUUAUCCUUUGUUGCCAGUGGUCUGGCCGGGAACUCAAAGGAGACUGCCAGUGAUAAACUGGAGGAAGGUGGGGGAUGACGUCAAGUCAUCAUGGCCCUUACGACCAGGGCUACACACGUGCUACAAUGGCGCAUACAAAGAGAAGCGACCUCGCGAGAGCAAGCGGACCUCAUAAAGUGCGUCGUAGUCCGGAUUGGAGUCUGCAACUCGACUCCAUGAAGUCGGAAUCGCUAGUAAUCGUGGAUCAGAAUGCCACGGUGAAUACGUUCCCGGGCCUUGUACACACCGCCCGUCACACCAUGGGAGUGGGUUGCAAAAGAAGUAGGUAGCUUAACCUUCGGGAGGGCGCUUACCACACUCUCGUGAUU
rnacentral:rRNA from 1 species